rnacentral:sRNA from 1 species
ACUAUUGCCCUGAAGACUGGAGGCCUCCGUUUAUUAGUACAACAGAUACCACAUUAGUACCACAGAUACCACCUGUCAUAUUGGCAGCAUCUCUGCAAUAACUUGCCAAUGUGUCUAAACCCUGAUCUGGAGGGACCACUUCAUGGGUGAGAGGUGGAUGCUUGAUCCAGGGCUAUUCACCCCAUGGCCUCU